rnacentral:lncRNA from 1 species
UGUGGCUUCGGGUCCUCCUUGUUGGCUUUUUGAGUUGUUCGUGAAUGAGAGCAGGUUUUUGUAAUCUUGAUUGUCUUGGGGUUGAAGUUUGGAGAGAUCAAGAUUUCUAGUUGUUUUGGGAUGGGGUUUGUUGGUGCUGUAGUUCGAUGUUGUAUCGUUCCCUCCCUUUGAGAGGGUCCAUAUCUGUAACUUUUUAUAUAUAAUCAAAACCAGUGUUAAAAAAAAAAAAUUACACUUGUACAUAUUUUCCCAUUGUCUAUUUACAUUUGUUUUUAAUUGCAUGGUGGUUAGGCAUAUGCUAUCGAACAUUAAUCAUGGAUACAACUUCUAAAUUUGCAGCAAGGGCAGCAGAUGUAGAAAUUUUUUAGGAUUAGGAGCAAAAAAACAUUUUAUUACAAAUAUGAGACUUUUGCAUUAUAAAAUUAAGUUAUUAGGUCUAAAUGUCUAAUUUAUUUGUAAAA